AAGACAACCAGUCUGGAUUCAUCAUUUCACAUAGAGCACCCUGCAGGGGCCCGACUUACUGGACAGCAUCCCUGACAGCAGGGGUGGCGGAUUUACCACGAAAUAGAAGUCAUUUCCUAUAUUUUCUUCUAGCAACAAGAGACGCAAAUGCAUACACACUUAUAAAUGAUGGGUUGUUAUCACUUUAGCAAGAGGUCAGACGUGGGUGUUACUUCAUCUCACUUGUUGAGGAGGUUG